GGAGGGUCCUGGCUGCCUCGCCCCCAGGUCAGGCACAGCUGUGGCUGUGGGCUGGAGCUCCCCGGUUCUUCUUGUUGCCUCGCUCUUCCUGUCGGCAGGUUGGGCUCCGUGGCGGUCUCGGGGCAGAGAACGGGUGUGAGCAGACAAGCCGGCGUGGACAUCUCUUGCACUGAAUUCUAUUGGUCAAAGUGCAUCAAAGGCCCCUGGGGAGGGGGCUUCGAGGGUGGGGGGUGUGGACUCUACCUCCUGAAGGUGGCACCUUCAGAGUCACACACAGGGGAGAGGGGCCGCCCCUCAAACAACCCCGGGCGCCCUCGGACGCGAGCCGGCCACCUUCUCGGCGCACUGGGUUCCUCUUCAGCCGCCACUUGUGUCGGGCCCUUGUGCCAGAUGACCCGGUUUAGCGUGGCAGAGAUUUCUUCUCAACAAGUUCGCGAGGGCAGGACUCAGGGAACCUCCAGCCCCUUCCCUGCACCUGCCUCCCCCUUUCCAAGCUCUCAGACCACUGCCACGUUCGGCCCCGGCUGUCCCUGUGGAUUUGGGCCACCCUCGGUCUCCGCUUUCUGCACAGCUGGCCUGGGAGGGCACUGCUGGCUGUGGGGCGACCCGGCUCCACCCCGUGGGCCUCUGCCCCGUUUUCCGGUCCUCGCAGCCCAGCCCUAUGAGAAGGAUGCUUUCUCCGCAAGCGAGGCUCCCUGGGAAACCGACUGGGGCCUGAGGGGACAGACUUUUGCCGGUCAAGUGGGAAAAACUGUACCCGGAAGUACCGGAGAUGGGCUUAUUUAGAGUAAUUAAGGAAAAGGUGCAAACCUUGGUUUCCUUUCAUUGUUAAGGCUGCGAGGAGACCCCAGCCCAAGAGGAUAACCCACAGACAGAUGCCAGGUGCACACCAAGUGAGAGAGGCUGUGCCUCACGACGGGUCUGCGCCACCAGUGGGGGGCUGGUUUGGACGUGGAGGGCGAGCAGAGAAGGCGCGGAGCCCCUUAGCCGUGAUGCAUGACGAAGGGGGGGAGCAGCUCCACUGCCGGGCCCCCCAGCAUUGAAGGCGGCGUCUCGGGGCGUAUGUGCACACCCACGUUCAUAACGGAAUUAGUCACGAGCCUCAAGGUAGAAGCCACCGGAGGAUGAGCGGACAAGAACAAUGUGGCCCAUCCACACGGUGGGGGGGUCAUUCGGCCUCAUAAAGGGAGAACGUUCCGACACCUGCUGCGACAGCACGGGUGCCCCUGCGGGACGCGACGCUGAGUGAAGUGAGCCGCCACGGAGGACAAGUACUGCGUGAUCCCGCUCAGAGGAGGGACGCGGCCCAGCCACAGUCGUAGAGACACAGAAGGGACGCUGGGCGGGGGCCCGUGCUUCACGGGGACAGCGCUUCCGUUUGGGAAGGUGGAGAAGUCCUGGGGACGGACGGCCGUGGUCGUUUCGCUGGUGAAUGAGCCCCAUGCCCCUGAGCCGAACACCUAAAAGUGGUUCAGGUGGCACCUUUUACGUGAUGUGUGUUUCCACCACAAUUUAUAAAAGUGACCCUCAGAAACCGACACCAACGGCAAAGGUACUUGGGACUCAACAGGGGGCGCUGUGCUAAUGGCCUCACCUGGCCCAGGCUGGCCCGCUCACCCUUCAAGCCACAGGGGGAGUAAUCCUGGCCGAGGCCUCCGCCCCACAGCGCAUGUCCCUCCUCUGGGCUGCCGGCCACGUGGCUGCGGCUUGUCACGUGACCUAGUCACGUGACCUUAUGGUUCCGCGAGCGCUUGUCCGUGGCUCCUUCCAAGUCCGGCCUAGCUCUGGGGUUCCCCGAAUGCACAGCGGAAGCCCGGCAAACGCCGGCUGCAGACAUGGAGACAGGAGGUGAGGAAAGGAAACGUCUCCAGGGGCCCCCCGCUCAGCUCGGGCUGGUGGGCGAGGCCAGCACGGCCCCGCUCCUGCGCGACGCCAGGCCGCUGGCCGUGCGGACAAGCGCUUCUCAGCCUGGGGCACCGCAGCCAAACUGCUCCUACUCCCUCGGGAAGCACCUUCCACGGCCGCCUGCCGUGCGCACCUGCCGAAGGGAGCGGAGUUCGGGUUCAGGGGCGGUGGGGGUGUGUGAUCAGAGGAAGACACGGAGGCUGGGACAGGUGCAGGGAAUUCCUCCGGGGCCACACAGUCGGGGCGCAGGCGGCUUUCAGCCCCGCCGGUGCUGCCUCCCCAGGCCCUGCGCGGGCGCUCCGGCCACACGUCCUGUGUUCGGCUGUGCGCGGCACAACUUUGCCCAGAACCCCCUCCCGGGGAGCAGACGGUGAGCGCUCACCCACCCUCGCCAGCCCCCAGCACACUGCCUGGCACAGACUCACUUCCCGAUUGGAUGCACGGGGCAGGGGGCAGGACAGUGACUGAACCAGUGAGCUGAGAUCCCCCCCAGGAAAGCCGGUUAAGCAUCAGGAUCCAGCCCCCUCCCCGCAAGAUUCUCACUCAGGAAUCUGCCUUUUAAGCAAGUGCCCGGGGCGUUCUGGUGCCCAGGACCCAGACCGCCCUCUGAGAGGCCCAGAGACCAGAAGAGGGUCAUGGGGCAGGGCACUCGACCCGCAUUCUGGGGGCAGCGGGGACAGCACUGAAGGUGUUGGAGCCUGGGCGGGAGCAGCCAUCCAGAACGGCGCUUGGCGAAGAUUGCUUCCUUGCCUCGUGAUGUCUUCCUCCUCUCUCUUUUUAUUUUUUUGUCACCGACACUGAUGAACAAGACAGAUUCAUGACAAACACCAGGCCGCAGCCUGGGGCUGCCGGUUCACUGCCCGGUGUUGCUGCCUCCCUGACAGCAGGCGGGCCGAAAUGCCCUUCCGAAAUGGCUUGUUAGCACAGUUAGCCCUUUGUCCGGGGCUCUCCUCUGCGGUAAUUGGGCCUUUACUCUGCUGCACUUCCUGGCCACGGAACUGUGAGCUGUCAGGCAAGGCUGUGAAUCCGCGGAAUGGACAGCGGGGCUCGUUCUUCCCAGGCAUCCCGCCCCGUGGGCACCCGCGGGACCCCAGAAAGCAGGCAAACAGGAGGGGGCCGCCCACGAGACAAGACGAGGUCUCCCCCCACCCCUCCCCGACCCAGGGGUUUGGGCAGAACCCUCUUCCUUCGCUGCGUGUUCCUGCUGUCACGCCGGGCUCGCCACCAACCCUGUUACCGCAAGGAGACAACGACAGCGGCUUCUAGCUUCGUGCCUCAUCGCCCUGCAUGGAUUUUAGAAGAAGGCUCGUCUGGAGGCACGUGGAGAAUAACCCGCCAGAGGGGGGUCUCGGUCUACCUUCGAGGACCCCCGUGAUCGCAUCGAGCCCCCACGCAUCGCGCGGAACAGCCUUGCUAUGGCAAAGCGGGCUGGCGAGCAUCUCUGAGACGUUUAACAAUGAAAACACCGUCCACGUCCACAGAGGAAAACUUGCCUAAAACAAAGGCUUGGAAAGGCACGUUAGAGGAACGCACGCGUUACAGAUGAAAGAAAAGUUACCCGGAGGGAAUUCAGGCCAAAAGCGCCAAAUCUCCGUUAAAGGAGAAAGUCGGCUCCGUGCUCACAGAACCCCACGGGCCCAGGCCAUUUGUCCCCCCGAGAUGACCAGACCUCUGGAGCUUCCACGGUGAUGUUUGGCUGUGCGGCUCUGGGCUUGUGGGGGCCUCGUCCACCUGCUCCGUCCCCCUCCCGCGGGAGGGAUGCAGGAGCGAGAGAACGGGGGACACGCAGCGGCUCGCAGCUCCCCUGCUCAUACCCGAUGGCCCAGAGCGAGCCCGUGAGCAACGGGGGAGGGGAGGUCAUGCUGUCCACGGUGGGGGGGUGGGGGCAGUCCCGCUGCAGGACGUCUGCUGAUGUCACGCGCGUCCCCAGCGUUGCCGCGGAAGGGUUUUAUUCCCUGCUAAGCUGUCACCGCAGAUACGGGCAGGAGAUGACUCUGUUUACAUGAUAGUAACUCCGAGAUUGAGUGUGAGUUCCACGGGUUCGGCUGGAGGCAGGUGGCUUGUGAGAGUGGCCGCGACAAAGUGGACGGGGAAGCCACGUUUCUAUUCUUCCGGCGGCCGAGCCUGAAGCAUGGGAGAACCGUGGCCGCCGUGCAUACAGCAGGUGUCACAGGCAACGGCCACGCGGGAUUGAUCCUGGAGCUCGGAUCCUCUCCGCGGGGCAGGGAGCGUAGUGGGGGGACGGGGGAGCAAGCAGGUCUCCUCACCUCCAAGGCAGGCCACACGCUGUGGCUACAAGUGUCAGCAGCCAUACGGUGGUGGGACGGGGACGGGGCUGCGAGACGAGGUGGGGGAGGGGAGGAGGAGCAGCUCACAGUCACUGCUCAGGUGGAGACCCCCAGGUGCCCCCAGGUGACAACUUUAGGUAUAAAUGUGGUCUUUGCCGGAAGCACAGGAAACACAGGCCUAUGGGACAUGAUGUACGGGGGGCUUCGGUCCCAGGAAGCAGGAGAGGAGGACAGACAGAAGGACGCAUCAUCGAGCACGGGGAGCCUUCAGCUCAGGGGGCGGCAGUGGGAGAAGCAGUGUCCAUGUCCCCGGAGUCCGGAGGGGCUGGUCCCAGCAGAGGAGGACCGUGUUUGGAGACAGGCCCUUUCCUUACGUAAUGGGCUCAGAGAGGUCAUAUGGAUGAGCCCUAGCCCGUGGCUGAUGUCCUCACAGGGAGAGGGAACGAGGACACAGACAGACGGACGGACGGGAACACGGCACACAGGGAGGAGGCCUCAGGAGGAACCGGACCCGCAGCCUCCCUGAUCGCGGGCCUCUGGCCUCCGCAACGUGGGAAAGUGUCUGUGGUCCGAGCCCCGGCCCGAGGGCUCUGCCACGGCAUCCUGAGCGGACUCGAGUGCCUUCCAGGACAUUCUGUCUGGGGAGAGGACCCACCGGACGUUACCCACCAAGCCCUGCCACUCGACAGUCCACGGUGUGCCACGUGGGACGUGCGUGUGUGGCUGCUGCCAGGUGUCCUGAUGUCCCGUGUCGGCCUCGGUGGCCGGGCGCCGUCAGGCGGGGCUGCGUGAGGUCGGGUGCCACCUGGACGCCGGAGAAGAGCCGCUGGAGGACCAGCGGCCGGCGCAGUGCGUGGACGGCGGUUCCCACGGUGACCAUGACCGCGAAAUAGAAACAACUUCUACACGUUUCACAUUAUCAGAAGGACAACACUGAGAAGAAAAUUGAAAAAAAGAAAAAGAAAAAAAUCAGGCUA